GUGAGGAAUAUUGCGCAAUGGAGGCAACUCUGACGCAGCCAUGCCGCGUGCAGGAAGAAGGCGCUACGCGUUGUAAACUGCUUUUAACCGGGAAGAAACCCCAGGACGUGUCCUGGGUUGACGGUACCGGAGGAAUAAGCACCGGCUAACUUCGUGCCAGCAGCCGCGGUAAUACGAAGGGUGCAAGCGUUAUCCGGAUUCAUUGGGUUUAAAGGGUGCGUAGGCGGAGCGUUAAGUCAGUGGUGAAAUCCUGCAGUUUAACUGUAGACUUGCCAUUGAUACUGGCGCUCUUGAGUGCGCUUGAAGUGGGCGGAAUGUGCCGUGUAGCGGUGAAAUGCUUAGAUAUGGCACAGAACACCAAUUGCGAAGGCAGCUCACUAAGGCGAUACUGACGCUGAGGCACGAAAGCGUGGGGAUCGAACAGGAUUAGAAACCCUGGUAGUCC
rnacentral:rRNA from 1 species